GACGAACGCUGGCGGCGUGCUUAACACAUGCAAGUCGAACGGUGAAGCUCCAGCUUGCUGGAGUGGAUCAGUGGCGAACGGGUGAGUAACACGUGAGCAACCUGCCCCUGACUCUGGAAUAAGCGCUGGAAACGGCGUCUAAUACUGGAUACGAGAAGGGUCCGCAUGGGCACUUUCUGGAAAGUUUUUCGGUUGGGGAUGGGCUCGCGGCCUAUCAGCUUGUUGGUGAGGUAAUGGCUCACCAAGGCGACGACGGGUAGCCGGCCUGAGAGGGCGACCGGCCACACUGGGACUGAGACACGGCGCAGACUCCUACGGGAGGCAGCAGUGGGGAAUAUUGCACAAUGGGCGAAAGCCUGAUGCAGCGACGCCGCGUGAGGGAUGACGGCCUUCGGGUUGUAAACCUCUUUCAGCAGGGAAGAAGCGAAAGUGACGGUACCUGCAGAAGAAGCACCGGCUAACUACGUG
rnacentral:rRNA from 1 species